CCUACGGGUGGCAGCAGUGGGGAAUAUUGCACAAUGGGGGGAACCCUGAUGCAGCAAUGCCGCGUGGGUGAAGAAGCACUCCGGUGCGUAAAGCCCUGUCAGCAGGGAAGAAACUGACAGUACCUGGACAAGAAGCCCCGGCUAACUACGUGCCAGCAGCCGCGGUAAUACGUAGGGAGCAAGCGUUAUCCGGAUUUACUGGGGGUAAAGGGAGCGCAGGCGGCGUGGCAAGUGAGAUGUGAAAACCCGGGGCCCAACCCCGGGAGUGCAUUUGGAACGGGCAUGCUGGAGUGCCGGAGAGGUAAGCGGAAUUCGUGGGGUAGCGGUGAAAUGCGUAGAUAUUAGGAGGAACACCAGGGGCGGAGGCAGCUUACUGGACGGUAACUGACGCUGAGGCUCGAAAGCGUGGGGAGCAAACAGGAUUAGAUACCCGAGUAGUC
rnacentral:rRNA from 1 species